GUGCAGCAGGCGAGAAACUUCACACUGUGCGAAAGCACGAUGAGGGAAUCCCAAGUGCUUGCACGUAAGUGUAAGCUGUUUCUCUGUUUAAAACGCAGAGAGAGUAAGGGCUGGGUAAGACGGGUGCCAGCCGCCGCGGUAAUACCUGCAGCUCAAGUGGUGACCGUUAUUAUUGGGCCUAAAACGUCCGUAGCCGGUUUAAUAAAUGCCUGGGUAAAUCGUGUAGCUUAACUAUACGAAUUCCGGGUAGACUGUUAAACUCGAGACCGGGAGAAGUUAGAGGUACUCCUGGGGUAGAGGUGAAAUUCUGUAAUCCUAGGGGACCACCAGUGGCGAAGGCGUCUAACUAGAACGGGUCUGACGGUGAGGGACGAAGCCCUGGGGCGCAAACGGGAUUAGAUACCCCCGUAGU
rnacentral:rRNA from 1 species